CCACAGGAAGAUUAGCAUAAAAAGCUCCCCUACAGCCACAAAUGUGUUUCAUUUCUUGCCAGUCCGCCCUGGGGUCUUUCCAAAUCCACAUCAGCACUAGGAUGUGUGUUAGAAACAGCGUCCUUGUGAACAUUUUUUUUUUUUUCCGAUAUCUGGUCACUUCAGUUGGUACACCUAUAUUCCAGAGCAGACGCACGGCGGGAUGUGCGUUAAGGCAUCGAUUCACAAAGAUAGAAGAGUCGUUUCUGCCUACAAUCAUCUCUAUGAAGCCAUUUCACGGUGCAUUAUUACUUUUGGUACGCGCUAGGCCUGCCUCAAACUCGUACCGUGAGUAAUAAUGCACAGUGGUGGUCACUGCCUGCUUCCCAGCGCCUGGACCCAGAGAGCACAAGGACUUCAACGCAGUGGACCGAGAUUCAAAUGAAAGCAUGUUGAUAUUUGCCACACCAUUUAAACACCACAUUUAUGGCAACCUUUGAUGUAUGUGCAUUAUUAAUGAAACUCAGUGCUCAAUGUGGUUUGUAGUGGACGGGGGGGGGGGGGGGAUGUGUCAAUGCGUGGAGGUCAAGUCAAAUGUUUCAUUGAAAGUGAGGAAGAAGAAUAUAACACCUAACCACCACACAGGUCCCAAAAGAUCCUCACCCGAAAAUAGCCUCCUGAUUGGAACAGAGUAUUAUUAACCCGCAUUUGUUUAUUUAUUUAUUUAUUUAUUGAGGAUCAAGGGGAGGAAGCCUUUCAAGUAUUUUUUAAUAUGGUCCCCUGUUAAUUCCAUCUCCCUCUCUUCCCUAGUAAUUUAUUUUAUUCAAGCUUCACAGCUCCGCUGUCUGGUUUGCAAUCUUCUCGCCCCAGCUGUAAAUUGCUGUCUUAAUGUCCAGCAGGAUUCCAUUUGGCUGGUUGAUUAGCUCCUCCAAGGGUCCUGAUGUGGCAGCGGAAAAAACAUCAGCCUGCUUCAUUUGCUUUCCUGUAGGCUCGGCAGAGAUCUAAACACCGAUUUUAUUUCUCAUAUGACAUGAAUAACCACACAUGAUUGAAAAGAAUGGAGAAAAAAAAACACCAGAACCUGAGUUAAAGAAUGUAAUAAAAAUAUUGCAUGGAUCA
rnacentral:lncRNA from 1 species